AAAAAGACGAUGAAGAGGACGAGUAAUCGCCGAAAUGGCGGUACAGAGAGCAGGAACAGGUGAGAGCCUGCCCGUACAGCGGCGAUGAAUGGACCUCGGAGUUGCAGGGCGAACGGGUUAAUCCCCAAGUAGUCUGAGCCGGAGUUGCCACCGUUAUCAGGGCAAAGGGUAUCGCCAAAUUGGCCGUACCCGCAACGAGUGAGGCUGGCUUCUUUCCCCUGUGUGCAUCACCGGGGAAUUUUUUUACCGGCAGCCUAACCGGGGUGGCACCACGGACCUGUUGUUCGUCCCCACG
rnacentral:ncRNA from 1 species